rnacentral:rRNA from 1 species
UACGGGGGGUGCAAACGUUGCUCGGAAUUAUUGGGCGUAAAGCGCACGUAGGCGGCUCGUUAAGUCGGAUGUGAAAUCCCUCGGCUCAACCGAGGAAGUGCAUCCGAAACUGGCGAGCUUGAGUAUGGAAGAGGGUCUCGGAAUUCCCGGUGUAGAGGUGAAAUUCGUAGAUAUCGGGAGGAACACCAGUGGCGAAGGCGGAGACCUGGGCCAAUACUGACGCUGAGAUGCGAAAGCGUGGGGAGCAAACAGG